GUGGAUUAGAUACCCUGGUAGUCCACGCCCUAAACGAUGUCAACUAGGUGUUGGGUGGGUAAAACCAUUUAGUACCGUAGCUAACGCGUGAAGUUGACCGCCUGGGGAGUACGGCCGCAAGGUUAAAACUCAAAGGAAUUGACGGGGACCCGCACAAGCGGUGGAUGAUGUGGAUUAAUUCGAUGCAACGCGAAGAACCUUACCUACCCUUGACAUGCUCGGAAUCCUGAAGAGAUUUGGGAGUGCCCGAAAGGGAGCCGGGACACAGGUGCUGCAUGGUCGUCGACAGCU
rnacentral:rRNA from 1 species